UUGUUUCACAUUCUGUAGAGAGGCAGCUGCCCGGACUCGCUAACCAACACACACACACACAUAUACAUACAUACAUAUACAUACAUACAUAUAUAUGUAGCUGUAACUCUGCCUUACUCCAGUGCUUGUGGUACCUACGAGCGCACUAUUGAACCAGAACAGGGAGACGCUGUAGUAGAGGAAAGAACUGUGUAUCACGUGAUUGUGAAAAUUCCGAAUGGUUGAAAACCAAAGAGCCGCCUUUUGUGCUGCCCGAAGACUGUAGUGAGGACCUGGAGCGAAGCGGGGAAGGCUGUCGUUGGUCCGUAUUCAGGUUGCUGAUGGAAGGACAGGUAGAAUUAGUAAAAAGACUCUUUGAAUGCAGAAGGCUGUUAUGUGUUAGUCCUGACUACUUCAAACAGCCAAGACUACGUGUAGGUCCAACUAUAUACAAUUUCUAAAGCUUGAUAUAACAGGCAGUUUAUUUUGAUCACUAUAGGAUCUGAAGUUUCUCAAUCCAACGCAGCUGUCAAUGUGAUGUAGGUGUGUGAGUUGGGCUGUGACCUCUUUCUAUUUGUUUCUUUUCCCGUAUUGUUAUUGCAGUUUGUGCUGAGGUGAACAAUGGUAGAGUUCAACCCAACUGACAUUUCUUUGAACCAUUAAAAAAAAUCGUAUCUUAUAUUAUCUUA